rnacentral:rRNA from 1 species
AACGAACGCUGGCGGCAUGCCUAACACAUGCAAGUCGAACGAGACCUUCGGGUCUAGUGGCGCACGGGUGCGUAACGCGUGGGAACCUGCCCUUAGGUUCGGAAUAACUCCCCGAAAGGGGUGCUAAUACCGGAUAAUGUCUUCGGACCAAAGAUUUAUUGCCUUUGGAUGGGCCCGCGUUGGAUUCGCUAGUUGGUAGGGUAAAAGCCUACCAAGGCGACGAUCCAUAGCUGGUCUGAGAGGAUGAUCAGCCACACUGGGACUGAGACACGGCCCAGACUCCUACGGGAGGCAGCAGUGGGGAAUAUUGGACAAUGGGCGAAAGCCUGAUCCAGCAAUGCCGCGUGAGUGAUGAAGGCCUUAGGGUUGUAAAGCUCUUUUACCCGGGAUGAUAAUGACAGUACCGGGAGAAUAAGCUCCGGCUAACUCCGUG